rnacentral:misc_RNA from 1 species
AACGAGGCCGACCUGCGGCUGAGUUACCUGCGGAGGGAUCAUUACAAGUGACCCCGGUUUACCACCGGGAUGUUCAUAACCCUUUGUUGUCCGACUCUGUUGCCUCCGGGGCGACCCUGCCUUCGGGCGGGGGCUCCGGGUGGACACUUCAAACUCUUGCGUAACUUUGCAGUCUGAGUAAACUUAAUUAAUAAAUUAAAACUUUUAACAACGGAUCU